UUUCUUUUUUGUUGUUGUUGUUUUGGAAGCCUGCCGCUUCCCACUUCCUCCACCAGAUGCCGCCUAGGAGCAGAGCCCUUGGAGAAGCGUGUGGUCGAACCCGGAGACACACCUGUGGCGCAUUUGCUGACUGAGGCUGGGGAUAUUUAAGAAGCGGCGAGCUGACACUUCCUUGCCUGAGUGUUUGUUUACCUUGGUAACAAAUCGUUCCAGAGUAAGGCCCUCUGCGCAUCUUCCCAAGAUAAUCGCCUCCUUUGUUUGUUCCUUCUCGUCAGGUCUACCUGGAUUCCUCCGGAGUUUUCUCGAGAAGAAAAGUUCUGUGGAUCGUUUGUUCCGGACCACGACCAGCCGCCAGCUCGCUCCCCACUCAGUUUGUCUUACCUGUCCGCCCUCCAACGGUUCACUACCUCUCCACGCCGCCCUGGAUCUGUCGCUGCUCCCAAGAGAACUUCCAUCUGCUCCUAUGGCUGAACUGGUUAUCCCUUCCUGACUUCUGCUCCGUGUUUUUCUCCCCAACCCUGUCCCCUCUGUUCAAUAAACUUUAUUAUUGUUU